UCAGGACGAACGCUGGCGGCGUGCCUAAUACAUGCAAGUAGAACGCUGAAGGAGGAGCUUGCUUCUCCGGAUGAGUUGCGAACGGGUGAGUAACGCGUAGGUAACCUGCCUGGUAGCGGGGGAUAACUAUUGGAAACGAUAGCUAAUACCGCAUAAGAGUAGAUGUUGCAUGACAUUUGCUUAAAAGGUGCAAUUGCAUCACUACCAGAUGGACCUGCGUUGUAUUAGCUAGUUGGUGAGGUAACGGCUCACCAAGGCGACGAUACAUAGCCGACCUGAGAGGGUGAUCGGCCACACUGGGACUGAGACACGGCCCAGACUCCUACGGGAGGCAGCAGUAGGGAAUCUUCGGCAAUGGACGGAAGUCUGACCGAGCAACGCCGCGUGAGUGAAGAAGGUUUUCGGAUCGUAAAGCUCUGUUGUAAGAGAAGAACGAGUGUGAGAGUGGAAAGUUCACACUGUGACGGUAUCUUACCAGAAAGGGACGGCUAACUACGUGCCAGCA
rnacentral:rRNA from 1 species